CGGAGGAGGAGCGACCAGUUUCGUGUAUCGAUUACAAGUGAGAGGCUUAAGCAGAGACACAUGGAACGUAUUAGCAAUUCUCAUGUGCGCAGGGAGCGCCAAAGAAUAUGUCACGGGGUUAAUACGUCGAAGGACAUGAUAAGGCCCCAUGUAUUGAGAAGACAGUUUAAUUGAAGGCACUUUGAGCUCCCACUUGAAAGACAGGAUUGGCACCACACCGCUUGUCAGCCUGGACUUUAGUACGUCUAGAGGCUGCUUGUAAUGCCACAUGCACCGAAGCCCACGUGUCUCGGACAGAAGCUAAUAUCAGGAAUAUCAGUGCCCAAAAAAUCAGAAGGCAAUACAGUGGGG